AGAUUGAACGCUGGCGGCAUGCCUAACACAUGCAAGUCGAACGGGAGUAGCAAUACUCUAGUGGCGGACGGGUGAGGAAUACGUAGGAAUUUGCCCUUAAGUGGGGGAUAACCCGGGGAAACCCGGAUUAAUACCGCAUGACCUCGAAAGAGCAAAGUGGGGGAUCGCAAGACCUCACGCUUUUGGAGAAGCCUACGUCGGAUUAGCUAGUUGGUGAGGUAAUGGCUCACCAAGGCGACGAUCCGUAACUGGUCUGAGAGGAUGAUCAGUCACACCGGAACUGAGACACGGUCCGGACUCCUACGGGAGGCAGCAGUGGGGAAUAGUUGGACAAUGGGCGCAAGCCUGAUCAGCAAUGCCGCGUGUGUGAAGAAGGCCUUGGGUUGUAAAGUCGUAACGUUUAAGGUGGGUAAAGUAAAAAACUCGACUACUAACACAGUAGAGUCGUUAGACGGUACCGA
rnacentral:rRNA from 1 species